rnacentral:rRNA from 1 species
UACGUAGGGUGCAAGCGUUGUCCGGAAUUAUUGGGCGUAAAGAGCUCGUAGGCGGUCUGUCGCGUCUGCUGUGAAAACUCGGGGCUUAACCCCGGGCCUGCAGUGGGUACGGGCAGACUGGAGUACUGCAGGGGAGACUGGAAUUCCUGGUGUAGCGGUGGAAUGCGCAGAUAUCAGGAGGAACACCGGUGGCGAAGGCGGCUCUCUGGACCGAGACUGACGCUGAGGCGCGAAAGCCGUGGGGAGCAAACAGG